GCGGCGCCACGAAUCAAAUGAUAGUGUACGUCGUGCCUGUCUAGCUAGCGCAUCGCUUUGGCAGGUGCUUUGCCUGUUUUCUGUACGUACCGGUAUCUUGAGAAAUUUGAAGAGUGCGCUUGGAAGAUCUGAACAAGACCAACCGAUUUCAAAACUCAAGCUAUGGAAACUUACCUCGGAUAUUUACUAAGAUGUCAAAUUAUUUUUGUGCGACAGUGAUAUGGCGAACGUAAAAGUAGCCGUCCGUGUACGGCCUAUUUGUAAAAGAGAGGAAGAUGCAAAAGCCACAAUAGUUGUGAAUGAAUACCAGGAAAAUGUAUUGGGUGUGGCAAAUCCUAAGAUUGAAGGCAUAGAGGGAUGCAGUGAUCAUCGGGACCGUAUAAAGCACUUCUCCUUUGAUUACUGUUACUUCUCCCUUGAUAAAAGUGCUCCAAAUUAUGCCUCACAGCAGACGGUAAGUCGCCUUGUCACCAUUGCCCUUUCAGAGUUUAAAAGCAUUUUGAAUUUGUCUAAUCUUGUUUUUGAAAUGCAUCCAGUGCAUAAGAGAGAAUUCAUUUAUGCUGUAUAUUUUGUCACGUUGCCCUUUUGCUAAUCUGAAAAGUGUUGUAAAUUUGAUUUCAUUUUGUGUAGAAUAUAUUUAGAUUUGUCAGAAUUUUCAUAUGCAUGUGUGAUUUUUUAAUUUAAUCCAAAGAACAAAUGGUAUUUUUACUAUGAUAUUUGAAUUUUGGAGUAUUACAUGUACCAUACAGCAUGCAAUUUCAAAAUGUUUUUGCCAAUGUGCAAUGCUCACUGAAGGUAUAAUUUGUUUAUUUGUAUUCCAUUGUUGGCUCAUUUAUGCCAAAACGCUAAUCUUCAUUUGUUUGAUGUGUGCGUAUUUUAGUUAUGAAACUAAAGUGCAUAGAUUUUUCAUAUUUGUGUACAAUUCAUGAAAUAAUGCAAAUAAACAUUACAUUUAAUAUGAUUAUAUAAUUUUCAAAGUACAUAUUAAAAGAAACAAAUAUGCACAUGAGCUGGAUUAAGUUUGUCCCUUCAAAAUUUAUGAAAUCGAAUUUCCAUACGUAUUGAGUAGAAAAGAUCUCAUUGGGCAUGCUCUUCCGUAGAUCUAUACAAAGAGUCAUAUUCACAGUCAUUAUUAAAGCUAUUGUUUAGGUUAAAGUGUUCCCAGGACAAAGGUAUUUCAUUUUGUCCCUGACAGCUUUGACAAAUGAGAGGAAAUAUGCAAGAUUAAAGAAGAGAGUCAUUGACUGCAUCCAGUGUCUAUUCACAUCUGACAGAGAAUGAUAAAUACUUGUUCUUUCAUGAAUAGUGAUCUGGAAAUUGUUUUAUUGAUUUUCGUUUGAUAUUGAGUUUUUUGUGUGCUGUUUGGUAUUUUGGGUUUAUCUGCUGGAACCAUUACAAGGCAUGCAUCUCAUUCCCUUUAUUAAAACCUGAAUUCACUAUUCUAGUUUGAAUAGGUACAUGUAAACUUGAAAUAAUGAUAAACAUGCUAUGUAGAAUGGAAUGAAAAUAUUAUUAUUUUGAUUGCUUUAAUCAAUGCUAAUAGUAUUAACAAGGUAUACUUCCAGAGUAAAACAUGAUUUUCAAGGCUGAAAUAAACAAAGGCUGACAGAAUAUUGAUAAUGCUAUCCAUAUUACUUUGAUACCAAACUACAUGAUCUUACAUAUGGUCUCUGAAAUACAAUUGUUCAUUUUGCUUUGUUUUAGAACAAAGUUUUUGAAAUACACAUAUUUUGUGUAUAUUGAAUUAUUGAAUGAGCCAGUAAGCGUCUCCUGAGUCUUGGUGUCUUUUGACCUCAUUCAGAAGAGUAAGAUCAAGUAGAUGCAAUCCAGUACUGUAAUUGGAUUAGAAACCUUUUACUGACAUAACCUGGAGUACAUUUGGCUUAAAAGCACAAUUUAUUCAACAAAUAAACAGGAACCUGAUUAAUAUGCUCUUCUCUUUAUACUUUCUAGUUUUUCUUUGCUGUGAUACAAGUUUCGUUAUCCACAGAAAUCCAGUGUAAUACAUACACACACCUUAAAAAAAUAUCAGACUCAUUUUUCGAUUAAUACAAUACUUAACAUAAUUUCAUCACAGCUUCAUAAGUGCAUAGAAAUAGUCAUACAUGUAUACCAGUCAACUACAAGUACACACUGUUAAAAAUAAUUUAAACAAUGCUGUUUACUAUGUGAAUCGCAUUGUAGUUGUUUAAACAUUUUAAUCAAGUGUUUAAAAUCUCAAACAACCAUGCUUAAAUUAUUGAUGAUUAAAUAUUUGAAUUUAAACUUUGUUGUUUAAGAUUUUAAACACUUGUUUAAAAUGUUUAAACAGCUAUUGUGUGAUUCACAUAAUAAACAGCGUUGUUUAAAUCAUUUUCAACAGUGUACAUGUAGUCUUCUGACUUUCAAACAGAGGGUCAUCAUGGGUUCGAAUGCCAGCCAUGGCAUAAUUUCCUUUGGCAAGAAAUUGAUCCACAUUGUGCUACACUCAACCCAGUUUAGUAAAUGGGUACCUGGCAGGAAUCUAUUCUUUUUAUGCUUCUGCUCUGUAAAAGGCUGCAGGGCAUAAGCCACCUACAUGUACUAUCCAACAAGUCCAUGGGAAGUGCAUAGGGACGUUGUAUCAUAAUCAAGAACUUUAUAUAUACAUGUAUUAUAUUGUUAUUCCGAUUUGACAUACAAAUGAAGCAAAUACAAAAUAGUUUAGAGUUAGAAAUUUGAAAUUGAAUUUGAAAUUUUCAGCAAAAGGAGGACUCAGAACAGCUGUGUAGGUAUGCACCUCUCAUCUGAAAUAAAACAGCAUCUAGAGGCUAUUGAAGAUCUGAAUGGUAUAAUGCCACAUCAUGCUUUCAUACACUUCCCAUUUUCCCCAGGCCAGUGUGAGUUUGUAGUGUACAUUCCCUCUCUUUUUUGUUGUCUUGGUGGUUACUUCAUGCAGCUGCCUUAAAUUUGAGCUUACCCGAGCGCACACGAUGGGUAGAAGUCAAUCAUCCCCGACCAAGCGUCCUAUCACGAAACAGAUGUGUGAAAGAUGGGAUAGCGAUGAAAAAAAACAGACCAAGAGGAAGGGUCUCUAGGGCAUGCAGUGUAACAAAUUACCUACUGGUUGUCCCCUUGGGAAUCUUUGCCAAUUUUUAUUCUGGAUAUUGGGCUGUGGAAGAAAGAGAGAGAAGUCGGUAAAAUAGAGGGAGUAGGGGAAGGGACAUUUUUGCCACUUUCAAGGGCUAUUUCCAACAUUUAAGAGCAAAAAUUGCCCUUUUCUCCAGUGUAUCUUUGUAGGUGACAAAUAAAUUUUCUUUGCUAUUGGGCCUAUUAUAUUUUUUUGUCAUCAUACACUGUAGAUUUUUAAUUGUGAUUUGUUGUGUUUUUAUGUCGAUAAAGAAUUUAAAAUGUUGACAAUUGUAUUUAAGCUCCUGAAGCACACAAGGUGAAAAUAAAUCAUGAGAAUAUUUUGGUUUUAGUAACGCGGUGUUAGACACAAGAAGUGAGCUGUUUGUAAAGAAUUAAAGAAUACUAUUAAAGGUAUUCAAUCAUUGAGGGGACAAUGAUAAUAAAACUCAAAAAGAAAAAAAGGUGAUGAAUAUAAUUCAGAUUUUGACCUACUGUACCAAAGGGAAAAAUUUGAGAGGAGGUUCAAAAGUGAU